CUAUAACUUACCCUACGCCUACGGGUAGUUUAAACUGGAGAGUAAAAGAAAGAUGAGGUGAAAUUCAUAAGAAGUCAAAAGCAUAAUGCCCAACUCGUGUAUAACAUGUACAUUUACAAUCGCAAGAAAACGCUCCAUAACGGCUGCACGACCUGGCGUUGUUGCGAAAACCUAAA